rnacentral:rRNA from 1 species
UGGGGAAUUUUGGACAAUGGGCGCAAGCCUGAUCCAGCCAUGCCGCGUGAGUGAAGAAGGCCUGGGUUGUAAAGCUCUUUCGGCCGGGAAGAAAUCGUGGUCUCUAACAUAGGCCAUGGAUGACGGUACCGGACUAAGAAGCACCGGCUAACUACGUGCC